CGCAAGCCUGAUCCAGCAAUACCGCGUGUGUGAAGAAGGCCUUCGGGUUGUAAAGCACUUUUGUUAGGGAGAACGGGUUUAGUAGCUAAUACCUACUGAAUUUGAUGUUACCUAAAGAAUAAGCACCGGCUAACUCCGUGCCAGCAGCCGCGGUAAUACGGAGGGUGCAAGCGUUAAUCGGAAUUACUGGGCGUAAAGGG
rnacentral:rRNA from 1 species